AUCACAUUUUAAAGGAAUAAAGAGAGAAGAAAGGAAGAGAGGAAGACAGCACCGGAAACCAGCUUGCAGGCUCACCCUCCUGGCACUGGCCUUCUGGUGUCCCUGGGCAUGGCUGCUUUGGCUCCGCAGUGCCCUCUGUUUGGACAGCUGCUCCUCUCCAGGGCAGCAGUAGGCUCUGCCUUGUCCUUCAAGGCUCAGCUCCAACAGCCCCUCCUCAGGGGAUCUUCUCCAACACCAACCUGAUUGCCCUGUGUGACGUUCUUCUGAGCACUUAUCGCCACCUGAAAUGGUCUUGCUUACUGAUGCAUGUAACAGUCCCUCAGGGGGGACCUGAGCAGAACCUCACUGCUGGACCCUCAGCAUCCAGAGUGGCACUCAGUCAAGAUUUGCUGAAGGAGCCAGUGAACAAACGGAUGAUUCCCUAACCUCUAACCAAAUAAGUCAAAAGAUGAUCAUGGAAUGCAGUGGGUGGACUAUCACUCUGGAGUGUGGUGCUUCAGAACAAGUGAGAGGCAUGCGUUUGCAGCUAGCCUUGGUGAGGUGGCGACUCCAGGAGGCAGGGGGGCUGGGCUCUCUGAAAGAGGACCAGUCAACAGUGGACAGACACACAGAUGCAACUGAUACUUGCCCAAGCACAGCGCCUGGAACAGGCAAGCAUGAAAUGAACUAAUGAAUUAAUGAACUGGAACUAAAGAAGUUGGAGAAGCCUACAAUGCUGGAAUCCUCACCACCCAUCCAAUGUACUGUAAACAACAAAUGACUUAAACAAAACAUACCAAAUAACUCAUUAAAAUAAGCCUUCAACUUCA